UCCGUAGGUGAACCUGCGGAAGGAUCAUUACCGAGUGAGGGCCCUCCGGGUCCAACCUCCCACCCGUGUCGACCGUACCGUGUUGCUUCGGCGGGCCCGCCGUCUGGCCGCCGGGGGGCGUUCGCCCCCGGGCCCGCGCCCGCCGAAGACCCCCCUGUGAACGCUGUCUGAAGCUUGCAGUCUGAGCGAAAACGCACAAUCAGUCAAAACUUUCAACAACGGAUCUCUUGGUUCCGGCAUCGAUGAAGAACGCAGCGAAAUGCGAUAAGUAAUGUGAAUUGCAGAAUUCAGUGAAUCAUCGAGUCUUUGAACGCACAUUGCCAUGCCUGUCCGAGCGUCAUUGCUGCCCUCAAGCCCGGCUUGUGUGUUGGGCCGCCGUCCCCCCCUCCCGGGGGACGGGCCCGAAAGGCAGCGGCGGCACCGCGUCCGGUCCUCGAGCGUAUGGGGCUUCGUCACCCGCUCUUGCAGGCCCGGCCGGGCGCCCGCCGGCGACCAUCAUCCUCUCUCCAGGUUGACCUCGGAUCAGGUAGGGAUACCCGCUGAACUUAAGCAUAUCAAUAAGCGGAGGAAAA
rnacentral:misc_RNA from 1 species